UCGAACGGCAGCGCGGGGCAACCUGGCGGCGAGUGGCGAACGGGUGAGUAAUAUAUCGGAACGUACCCUGGAGUGGGGGAUAACGUAGCGAAAGUUACGCUAAUACCGCAUACGAUCUAAGGAUGAAAGUGGGGGAUCGCAAGACCUCAUGCUCCUGGAGCGGCCGAUAUCUGAUUAGCUAGUUGGUGGGGUAAAGGCCCACCAAGGCAUCGAUCAGUAGCUGGUCUGAGAGGACGACCAGCCACACUGGAACUGAGACACGGUCCAGACUCCUACGGGAGGCAGCAGUGGGGAAUUUUGGACAAUGGGCGCAAGCCUGAUCCAGCAAUGCCGCGUGAGUGAAGAAGGCCUUCGGGUUGUAAAGCUCUUUUGUCAGGGAAGAAACGGGUCUUUCUAAUACAGAGGCCUAAUGACGGUACCUGAAGAAUAAGCACCGGCUAACUACGUGCCAGCAGCCGCGGUAAUACGUAGGGUGCAAGCGUUAAUCGGAAUUACUGGGCGUAAAGCGUGCGCAGGCGGUUUUGUAAGUCUGUUGUGAAAUCCCCGGGCUCAACCUGGGAAUGGCAAUGGAGACUGCAAGGCUAGAGUUUGGCAGAGGGGGGUAGAAUUCCACGUGUAGCAGUGAAAUGCGUAGAUAUGUGGAGGAACACCGAUGGCGAAGGCAGCCCCCUGGGUCAAAACUGACGCUCAUGCACGAAAGCGUGGGGAGCAAACAGGAUUAGAUACCCUGGUAGUCCACGCCCUAAACGAUGUCUACUAGUUGUCGGGUCUUAAUUGAC
rnacentral:rRNA from 1 species